rfam:Streptomyces agglomeratus strain 6-3-2 1, whole genome shotgun sequence.
CUUGAUGGAUCCCAGCCACAGCGGCCGGUCGCCCGAGUGCUCCUGACCGUACGUGGCGAGCAGUGCCUCCACCUC